AGGCGACGUGGAGAACAGCUGAUCAACAUCUCUCCAUAAUAAUCCUCUGAACACCUGAACACAGCUGUGAGAGCUUAAAGGUUUGCUGAGGCUAAUCUGGGCACAGAGCAUAAACCUGGAAGAGGAUUCCAAGGAGGGCAAUGCAAGCCAGAGCUGAGAGGUGCCAUGUGUAUGGGACCCUGCUGGCCCAAAAGACCAGUAUUUGCAAAUGCGUCUAAUGUGGGAAAGAUACUUAAUCGCAUGGUUGUACAAAAUCUAGAAUAAAGAAGAUUAAACCUGGAGACAGUGUGGUGUAAAGCUGAAGUCCUUCCUUGCCUUCCAAUAGGUAUGUGACCUUGGAGAAGUCAAUUACUUCUUUUGGCUCCAGAUGUCUUAUCUUUUAAUGGGUCUAAUGAUAGGGUGCUAUUUGAAGGGACUAGAGCAGAUGGGUUCUGGAGAUUUCUUCUUACACUAAGAUCCUUUGAAAUUAGAGCUCAGUUGGUAGGGAAUUAGGAAAUGUUGGUUUUAGUCCUACUUUAAAUGUAAACUGAGUGUAUAACUUAGAGCAAGUCCUUUAAGCUCUCUAGAACUCCAGCUAAACCAGAAUUUCUUUGAGGUCCCAUUGAGGCCAGCUCUCAAUAACCUGCAGGCACUGGGGGGAACCAGGUUGACCGAUGUCCUGGCGUUUGUGAGACCUUAAUCUCUGUCCCUCCAGGGCUCAGGUCCACCUGUUGUUUGGUAAAGGUGAG